CCUACGGGAGGCAGCAGUGGGGAAUUUUGGACAAUGGGCGCAAGCCUGAUCCAGCAAUGCCGCGUGAGUGAAGAAGGCCUUCGGGUUGUAAAGCUCUUUUGUCAGGGAAGAAACGGUGGGAGCUAAUAUCUCCUACUAAUGACGGUACCUGAAGAAUAAGCACCGGCUAACUACGUGCCAGCAGCCGCGGUAAUACGUAGGGUGCAAGCGUUAAUCGGAAUUACUGGGCGUAAAGCGUGCGCAGGCGGUUUUGUAAGUCUGUCGUGAAAGCCCCGGGCUCAACCUGGGAAUUGCGAUGGAGACUGCAAGGCUUGAAUCUGGCAGAGGGGGGUAGAAUUCCACGUGUAGCAGUGAAAUGCGUAGAGAUGUGGAGGAACACCGAUGGCGAAGGCAGCCCCCUGGGUCAAGAUUGACGCUCAUGCACGAAAGCGUGGGGAGCAAACAGGAUUAGAUACCCUGGUAGUCCACGCCCUAAACGANAUCUACUACUAGUUGGUUAGUUUAACGUUAGUACGUACGACGAGUACG
rnacentral:rRNA from 1 species